GUUACGUUCGUCCCGUGAAUGUGGACACGUGCCUUGCAAUAUUAUCGUGUUUGCACUUUGUACACUGUGUGUUGGGAACAUUUGAGGACGUGAACUUUAUUUUUAGAGUGCCGUGCGUGAGUGCAGUGGUGGGGGAGUGUGGUGGCGAGACAGUAGCCGUGGAAAGCAGGAGACAGAAUAAAGAAGACAGCAGUCCGCCGCAGCACUCCGCUCCGCCAUCAACAGGUGAAUUGGAUGGCAUGAGAAAGAUGGAGACAGGUGUGGGCAGGUGUGUUCACUUCACCCAUUGUCUUGAGUAUCAUCUGCUUGACUCACGAUCACUCGCCACACACACCUGCCCUUCUAUAAUAUUAAGUGAGCCGGGGCCGUCUGGGCGUGCGUCACUUGAGCCGCUAGUGUUCUGUGCAUCUGCUUCGUGUGGAUCCCCGAGUGUCUGCUGCUGCUGCUGCUGUGUUUGUGGCACCUUCGUCUCCACUCUUUCCUCCUCCUCCUCCUCCUCCUCCUCCUCCUCCUCCUCCUCCUCCUCCUCCUCCUCCUCCUCCUCCUCCUCCUACAUCCCCUUCUCUCUCUCUCCUCCAGCACCCUGCAGCCCUUCUCCUUCAAGCUCAGGCAGUCCACUAAGCUGGCCAAGUUUGAAGGUGUGUGUUCUUUUCUUUUCUUUUUAUUUUAUUGUGCUUUUAUAGGCCUGAGUCAAGUUUUAUUAUGUUCUGUUGACACAAACCUAACCUAACCUAACUCAGCUCAAUCCAACCUAACCUAACUUAACAUAACCAAACCUUGCUUGACCUUACCCUAUUUUACCUCGUAGUUUUAUAGAGGUGAGUCAAGUUUAUCAUAUUCUUUUACACAAACUUAACUCAGCCUCACCUAACCUACC